AAUAGAUACCCCUGGUAGUCCACGCCGUAAACGGUGGGCACUAGGUGUGGGCGACAUUCCACGUCGUCCGUGCCGCAGCUAACGCAUUAAGUGCCCCGCCUGGGGAGUACGGCCGCAAGGCUAAACUCAAAGGAAUUGACGGGGGCCCGCACAAGCGGCGGAGCAUGUGGCUUAAUUCGACGCAACGCGAAGAACCUUACCAAGGCUUGACAUACACCGGAAACGUCCAGAGAUGGGCGCCCCCUUGUGGUCGGUGUACAGGUGGUGCAUGGCUGUCGUCAGCUCGUGUCGUGAGAUGUUGGGUUAAGUCCCGCAACGAGCGCAACCCUUGUCCCGUGUUGCCAGCAGGCCCUUGUGGUGCUGGGGACUCACGGGAGACCGCCGGGGUCAACUCGGAGGAAGGUGGGGACGACGUCAAGUCAUCAUGCCCCUUAUGUCUUGGGCUGCACACGUGCUACAAUGGCCGGUACAAUGAGCUGCGAUACCGCGAGGUAGAGCGAAUCUCAAAAACGCCGGUCUCAGUUCGGAUUGGGGUCUG
rnacentral:rRNA from 1 species